rnacentral:rRNA from 1 species
GAUGAACGCUGGCGGCGUACCUAAUACAUGCAAGUCGAGCGAACAGACGAGGAGCUUGCUCCUCUGACGUUAGCGGCGGACGGGUGAGUAACACGUGGAUAACCUACCUAUAAGACUGGGAUAACUUCGGGAAACCGGAGCUAAUACCGGAUAAUAUAUUGAACCGCAUGGUUCAAUAGUGAAGGACGGUUUUGCUGUCACUUAUAGAUGGAUCCGCGCCGCAUUAGCUAGUUGGUAAGGUAACGGCUUACCAAGGCGACGAUGCGUAGCCGACCUGAGAGGGUGAUCGGCCACACUGGAACUGAGACACGGUCCAGACUCCUACGGGAGGCAGCAGUAGGGAAUCUUCCGCAAUGGGCGAAAGCCUGACGGAGCAACGCCGCGUGAGUGAUGAAGGUCUUCGGAUCGUAAAACUCUGUUAUUAGGGAAGAACAAAUGUGUAAGUAACUAUGCACGUCUUGACGGUACCUAAUCAGAAAGCCACGGCUAACUACGUG